UGAGGAAUAUUGGACAAUGGGCGAAAGCCUGAUCCAGCAAUACCGCGUGAGUGAAGAAGGCCUUAGGGUUGUAAAGCUCUUUCAGCAGGGAAAAUAAUGAUGGUACCUGCAAAAGAAGUUCCGGCUAACUCCGUGCCAGCAGCCGCGGUAAUACGGAGGGAACUAGCGUUGUUCGGAUUUACUGGGCGUAAAGAGCGCGUAGGCGGUAUAUUAAGUUAGAAGUGAAAGCCUGGGGCUUAACCCCAGAACUGCUUCUAAAACUGGUAUACUAGAGUAUGGGAGAGGAUAGUGGAAUUCCUAGUGUAGAGGUGAAAUUCUUAGAUAUUAGGAGGAACACCGGUGGCGAAAGCGACUAUCUGGAACAUUACUGACGCUGAGGUGCGAAAGCGUGGGGAGCAAACAGG
rnacentral:rRNA from 1 species